UCUACGGGAGGCUGCAGUGGGGAAUAUUGCACAAUGGGGGAAACCCUGAUGCAGCGACGCCGCGUGAGCGAUGAAGUAUUUCGGUAUGUAAAGCUCUAUCAGCAGGGAAGAAGAUGACGGUACCUGACUAAGAAGCCCCGGCUAACUACGGGCCAGCAGCCGCGGUAAUACGUAGGGGGCAAGCGUUAUCCGGAUUUACUGGGUGGAAAGGGGGCGUAGACGGCGAUGCAAGCCAGAUGUGAAAGCCCGGGGCUCAACCCCGGGACUGCAUUUGGAACUGGGUGGCGGUAGUGUCGGAGAGGCAGGCGGAAUUCCUAGUGUAGCGGUGAAAUGCGUAGAUAUUAGGAGGAACACCAGUGGCGAAGGCGGCCUGCUGGAUGAUGACUGACGUUGAGGCUCGAAAGCGUGGGGAGCAAACAGGAUUAGAUACCCCUGUAGUC
rnacentral:rRNA from 1 species